rnacentral:rRNA from 1 species
CACGGGGGUUGCGAGCGUUGUCCGGAAUUACUAGGCGUAAAGGGCAGGCAGGCGGAUCCAUAAGUUUAUCGUUUAAGGCGUCGGCUUAACCGGCGUAGGGCGGUAGAUACUGUGGAUCUGGAAUGCGGUUGGGGAAGACAGAAUUCCUGGUGUAGCGGUCGAAUGCGCAGAGAUCAGGAGGAAUACCGAAGGCGAAGGCAGUCUUCCAAGCCGUUAUUGACGCUCAACUGCGAAGGUGUGGGUAUCAAACAGGAUUAGAUACCCGCGUAGUCCCUGAG